rnacentral:lncRNA from 10 species
UGGAGUCACCUCUUGGUGGCAGACAUUACAACUGUUUCCCAAACAUCUGUGCCCUUCAAUGCCCGGGCGGUGAUGCUGCCUGUCCUCUUGGAGUAGGUGGCACCAUGCGGUGGGUUCUGGCCAAUGGGAUGUGCGUGGGAAUGAGAGGUGCCUGUGUCUCUUUCCAGCCUUAGCAUUUUGCCAUUGCUGCCCCAUUCUCUGGCCCUCCUGCCCCGGUCCCAGUCUUUGUGGAAGCCCCCAGAGGUCGUGGGGACCCACAGCUGGCUUCGUGUGGAGGGAGUGAGCUUAUGCUCUGUGAAGCUGCAGCACAGCCUGGCAGGGCCUGGCCAGGAACUUCACCCCGCCCUCACCAUGUCCCUCUGAAGGAGCUGGUACUGUCUCCCUUUAACAGAAGAAGAAACUGAGGCUCAGGGAAGUAGAGUAACUCACCCAAGGCCACUGGGAGACAGCGCUGGUGCCCCAUCCUCCUGGCCUUGGCUUAAUAACCCAUCUUGUCACAGGCGUCUUGGAGCUCCAGGAGGGGAAGGGGCUUGUUCAAGUCGGAGGGUGUGCAGAGGUCCAUGAAGAAGCUGGGAGGGGCCCCCUUCAGCAGGUGGGUAAGGGUCCUAUGUGAGUGUCCCCAGCCCCCACCAGCCCACCCAGGCUACGCCUCAUACCUCAGGCCUUUGCCCACUGCCCUAUCCUGCCUCCCUGGCACCUUCCAAGUGCACGUGGGCCACCCGCAUGCAGUUCACAGUGGUGUGGCCGGAGGGCCACUCACCCCCACCUCUUGGCCUGUCUUGAUGGCCGGGUUUGAUCUUCGCUCGCCUCUACCCCCGAUGUUCUGCAGUCCCUGAUCUGGGGAAGUGAGGGGCCCUAAGAAGCAGCUGGCAGGUAUUCAGGAACAUGUUGGGGUGGGGAUCACCUCCCAGCCUCUUAAUCCACGCAGAGAAGACAGAGAGACAUCCCUGUGGUCCCCACACAGCUGAGGAACAACUGAGGCGUGGUGCACUUUGGUCCUGGGGGCCUGGAUAGGAAGUGUCUGGAGGCAGCUGCCAGCUCAGGGCCAGGGCCAGGAAUGCGCUGUGCAGAGGCUGGGGAUGCAGGGCUACAGGCUGGGCCUGGGCCUCAGAGGUGGGGGCGAGUAUGGCCCAAAGCAGGCAGGGCCUGGUAAGAAUGACCAAACUGGCCAA